rnacentral:rRNA from 1 species
GAGCGUGGCCUGCCCGCAUCACCCUUUGCUUGCACACAACAGCCAGUCGACGUCGGGGGUGGCCUUCCCGUAUCGACCUUUGCUUGCACUCAACGGUCAGCCGACAUCGGGCGUGGCCUGCCCACAUCUCCCUUGACCUGUGCACAUCCCUUAGUCGACGUCGGGGGUGGCCUGCCUGCAUCGCCCUUGUCCUGCACACAAAGGUCAGUCAAUGUCAGACGUGGCCUGCCCGCAUCGGUCGUGGACUAUGAACAUCACCCAGCCGACUUUGGACGUUGACUGACCGCAUCUCCCUUGGACUGCACACAAUGGUCAGCCGUGGUUUGCACACAACAGUCAGACGACGUCGGACGUGACCUGGCCGCAUAGCCCUUGGACUGCACACAACGGUCAGCCGACGUCGGACGUGGCCUGGCUGCAUCGCCCUUGGACUGCACACAACGGUUAGUCGACGUUGGCCAUGGACUGCCCGCAUCGGCUGUGGCUUGUGCAACAUUGGUCGACGUCUAGUCGACAACAUGCGGAAGUCCAUGCCUUCCAAAAAUCAAAAGAGUGUGAAACACCCUUCAUAUAUUCAAGUUGUUGUAGUUAAAAAGCUCGUAGUUAGAUUUUGCGAUGGGCUGGACGAUCCGCCCUAGGUGUGUACCGGUCGUCUCAUUCUUUCUGUCGGUGAUGCACUCCUGGCCUUAAUUUGCCAGGUCGUGCCUCCGGCACUGUUACUUUGAAGAAAUUAGAGUGCCAAAGCAAGCCUACGCUUUGUAUACAUUUGCAUGGGAUACCAUUAUAGGAUUUCAGUCCUAUUACGUUGGCUUUCAGGAUUGGAGUAAUGAUUAACAAGGACAGUCGGGGGCAUUCGUAUUUCAUAGUUAAAGGUGAAAUUCUUGGAUUUAUGAAAGACGAACAACUGCAAAAGCAUUUGUCAUGGAUGUUUUCAUUAAUCAGGAAUGAAAGUUGGGGGCUCGAAGACGAGCAGAUACCGUCCUAGUCUCAACCAUAAAUGAUGUCGACCAGGGAUCGUCGGAUGUUUCUUUUAGGACUCCGCCGACACCUUAUGAGAAAUCAAAUUUUUGGGUUCCGGGGGGAGUAUGGUUGCAAGGCUCAAACUUAAAGGAAUUGACGGAAGGGCACCACCAGGAGUGGAGCCUGCGCCUUAAUUUGACUCAACACGGGGAAACUUAUCAGGUGCAGACAUAGUAAAGAUUGACAGACUGAGCUGUUUCUUGAUUCUAUGGGUGGUGAGCAUGGCUAUUAUUAGUUGGUGGAGCGAUUUGUCUAGUUAAUUCUGUUAAUGAACGAUACCUCAGCCUGCUAACUAGCUAUGCGGAGGUAUCCCUUCGCAACCAGCUUUUUAGAGGGACUACGGCCUUUUAGGCAACGGAAGUUUGAGGUAAUAAAAGGUCUGUGAAGGCCUUAGAUGUAUUCAACGUGCGCUACACUGAUGUAUUCAAUGAGCUUAAAGCCUUGGUCGACAGGCCUGGGUAAUUUUAGAAAUUUCAUCGUGAUGGGGAUAGAUCAUUGCAAUUAUUGGUCUUCAAAGAGGAAUUCGUAGUAAGCGCGAGUCAUCAGCUCGCGUUGACUACGUCCCCACCCUUUGUGCAUAAUACCCAUCGCUCCUACCAAUUGAAUGAUCCAAUGAGAUGUUCAGAUCUCGGCGACGUGGGUGGUUCGCUGCUCGCAACUUCGCGAGAAGUCCAUUGAACCUUAUCAUUUAGAGGAAGGAAAAGUCGUAACAAGGUUUCCGUAGGUGAACCUGCGGAUG